CAUGGAUCUCCACAGCUCGCAGGCAUAUGUAGUAUAUUUACAAUAUAUACAAUACAGCUGCAUAUGAUAUAUAUAGUUAGCGCCAUGCUUUUCUCCAGGCGGGCUGCACUUGCUGGGCAACAGCCAGAACACCGGUCGACCGAACGGUGUUUUUUCGUUGCCUCAGCUAAAGCGGUCCCAAGCACUCGCGAGCGCUCGCAGUGCCUCAAAAAGAGUUCUUGAUAGGCGUUCUGUAACAGCUGUUCAAGAGGCAAGUGAACUUUUGAUGCCCGUGCCAUUUGGUAGACUCAAAUGUCUCCUCUUUCUUUUGAGGCGCCUGCGUCACAUGCGUGCAGCUUUUCUGGUAUCUCGUUGAACGUUUGCGGAAGUUGCGGAAAACGCGAAAAAGCGGGAGGCUUGGGUGCCUCAGGGUCUCGACAGGUCAAAAGAACGGAGAGACAAGGUGUAUUGCAUUUCAGUGCGAAACGGCGACGAAAAAAUCCCGAAAAAAGAGCCAAUCGAGGACGCGUACGGGGCUCACGCUGCGGGCCCGUAUGUAAGCUAACGAGAGUGCGGAGCAAGAUCGGGAUGGGGAGGGCUAAUGCCGGAUAAGACCCCGACAAAUUCUACGCGACCUGCGCGGUAGAAGUUCUGUUGGCUACCGUUCAGCAAGGAGCAGUGGACUCGAGUCGUCGCCAGCAAAUAAGCGCCUGAUCUGCAUUGGUGAUCCAAGUGCCCAAGAAUCCUUUCCCUGAAUCCGAUGCGCGAAACGGACCGUCUCCUUGCACUUUCCCUUCGGCCAGGUCUCGGAGGCAUCCAGCAGCGCGGCCACAGGAUCGGGGUUUAACGGCAGGCACUUACCCAGAGAUUUCUUCAUGAAGUAGUUCCUUCGAAUCCCCUAUCCCGACGCUGCACGGCUGGGCUGUGUGACUCCGUGGCCACACGCUCAGAGAGCAACGUCGUCCUUACUGGCCUUCUCGCGCCUCAGUACACACAUCAAAAGCAAAUGCAUCCGCAGCAUAGCUCAGGAUGCGAAAAAUACGCUGUCGCUCGACUGCAUUCCUCCACAUUGCGUCCAGAACGUUUCCGACAGGCAGGCCAGCAGUUACUCAGUGUAGGAUCAGCGACUUUCACUGGGGUUAGUCCCCUACCACCUGUUUGGAGCUGUGACAGCUGACAUGUGCUUACCGUGGAAUAGCAAGGAAGUCUACACGUGACAACUUGGCUAUUUUGCUUCAAUCACAAAACAGUCGCAAAAGGAGUACGGAGAUGCUUGGAUCUUGAUCGCACUAAAGGACCACAGAACCGUGUCCACGCUGUUUUGUGCCAAAAACAAGGGAAGAUCUGCUCGACUGCAGGUGUUCCUAUUCCAGUAUUCUCCUGACAGUGAAGAAAAUCGAACGUGUUUCCCUGCCUUCAGGGAGCCGGACGAGAGCCGACCCCUUCGGCCAGUGCGUGGAUAACAAGAAACUGAGCAAACCCCCAAACCCGUCAACCAUACAUACCUCGUAGCUGGACAUUGAAAAGCUUUGAGUCCUAGGCAGCUUCUAUUUUCCAAGCCCGGACUCUGAGAAUCUUGUUCGAUACUUGUAAUCUGUGAUAUACAGAGGUCUGUCCUGCGGGAGGCUUCAUCGUUGUGCCUCAUCUAGAGUCACUUGGCAGCGCUCCCCUCCCCCAGUGGGAUCACA
rnacentral:lncRNA from 1 species